AACCAUGAGACCGAUAGUAAACAAGUACCGUGAGGGAAAGUUGAAAAGAACUCUGAAUAGAGAGUUAAACAGUACGUGAAACUGCUUAGAGGUUAAGCCGCGAUGAACCUGAAUAUCCGUUAUGGAAAAUUCAUCAUUAAAAUUGUAAUAUUUAAAUAAUAUUAUGAGAAUAGUGUGCAUUUUUUCCAUAUAAGGACAUUGUAAUCUAUUAGCAUAUACCAAAUUUAUCAUAAAAUAUAACUUAUAGUUUAUUCCAAUUAAAUUGUUAAUUUUUCGGAAUUAUAUAAUGGCAUAAUUAUCAUUGAUUUUUGUGUUUAUUAUAUGCACUUGUAUGAUUAACAAUGCGAAAGAUUCAGGAUACCUUCGGGACCCGUCUUGAAACACGGACCAAGGAGUCUAACAUAUGUGCAAGUUAUUGGGAUAUAAACCUAAUAGCGUAAUUAACUUGACUAAUAAUGGGAUUAGUUUUUUAGCUAUUUAUAGCUAAUUAACACAAUCCGGGGCGUUCUAUAUAGUUAUGUAUAAUGUAUAUUUAUAUUAUUUAUGCCUCUAACUGGAACGUACCUUGAGCAUAUAUGCUGUGACCCGAAAGAUGGUGAACUAUACUUGAUCAGGUUGAAGUCAGGGGAAACCCUGAUGGAAGACCGAAACAGUUCUGACGUGCAAAUCGAUUGUCAGAAUUGAGUAUAGGGGCGAAAGACCAAUCGAACCAUCUAGUAGCUGGUUCCUUCCGAAGUUUCCUCAGGAUAGCUGGUGCAUUUUAAUAUUAUAUAAAAUAAUCUUAUCUGGUAAAGCGAAUGAUUAGAGGCCUUAGGGUCGAAACGAUCUUAACCUAUUCUCAAACUUUAAAUGGGUAAGAACCUUAACUUUCUUGAUAUGAAGUUCAAGGUUAUGAUAUAAUGUGCCCAGUGGGCCACUUUUGGUAAGCAGAACUGGCGCUGUGGGAUGAACCAAACGUAAUGUUACGGUGCCCAAAUUAACAACUCAUGCAGAUACCAUGAAAGGCGUUGGUUGCUUAAAACAGCAGGACGGUGAUCAUGGAAGUCGAAAUCCGCUAAGGAGUGUGUAACAACUCACCUGCCGAAGCAACUAGCCCUUAAAAUGGAUGGCGCUUAAGUUGUAUACCUAUACAUUACCGCUAAAGUAGAUGAUUUAUAUUACUUGUGAUAUAAAUUUUGAAACUUUAGUGAGUAGGAAGGUACAAUGGUAUGCGUAGAAGUGUUUGGCGUAAGCCUGCAUGGAGCUGCCAUUGGUACAGAUCUUGGUGGUAGUAGCAAAUAAUCGAAUGAGACCUUGGAGGACUGAAGUGGAGAAGGGUUUCGUGUGAACAGUGGUUGAUCACGAGUUAGUCGGUCCUAAGUUCAAGGCGAAAGCCGAAAAUUUUCAAGUAAAAAAAAAGCCUAACUAUAUAAACAAAGCGAAUUAUAAUACACUUGAAUAAUUUUGAACGAAAGGGAAUACGGUUCCAAUUCCGUAACCUGUUGAGUAUCCGUUUGUUAUUAAAUAUGGGCCUCGUGCUCAUCCUGGCAACAGGAACGACCAUAAAGAAGCCGUCGAGAGAUAUCGGAAGAGUUUUCUUUUCUGUUUUAUAGCCGUACUACCAUGGAAGUCUUUCGCAGAGAGAUAUGGUAGAUGGGCUAGAAGAGCAUGACAUAUACUGUUGUGUCGAUAUUUUCUCCUCGGACCUUGAAAAUUUAUGGUGGGGACACGCAAACUUCUCAACAGGCCGUACCAAUAUCCGCAGCUGGUCUCCAAGGUGAAGAGUCUCUAGUCGAUAGAAUAAUGUAGGUAAGGGAAGUCGGCAAAUUAGAUCCGUAACUUCGGGAUAAGGAUUGGCUCUGAAGAUUGAGAUAGUCGGGCUUGAUUGGAAACAAUAACAUGGUUUAUGUGCUCGUUCUGGGUAAAUAGAGUUUCUAGCAUUUAUGUUAGUUACUUGUUCCCCGGAUAGUUUAGUUACGUAGCCAAUUGUGGAACUUUCUUGCUAAAAUUUUUAAGAAUACUAUUUGGGUUAAACCAAUUAGUUCUUAUUAAUUAUAACGAUUAUCAAUUAACAAUCAAUUCAGAACUGGCACGGACUUGGGGAAUCCGACUGUCUAAUUAAAACAAAGCAUUGUGAUGGCCCUAGCGGGUGUUGACACAAUGUGAUUUCUGCCCAGUGCUCUGAAUGUCAAAGUGAAGAAAUUCAAGUAAGCGCGGUCAACGGCGGGAGUAACUAUGACUCUCUUAAGGUAGCCAAAUGCCUCGUCAUCUAAUUAGUGACGCGCAUGAAUGGAUUAACGAGAUUCCUACUGUCCCUAUCUACUAUCUAGCGAAACCACAGCCAAGGGAACGGGCUUGGAAUAAUUAGCGGGGAAAGAAGACCCUUUUGAGCUUGACUCUAAUCUGGCAGUGUAAGGAGACAUAAGAGGUGUAGAAUAAGUGGAGAUAUUAGACCUCGGUUUGGUAUCGUCAAUGAAAUACCACUACUCUUAUUGUUUCCUUACUUACUUGAUUAAAUGGAACGUGUAUCAUUUCCUAGCCAUUAUACGGAUAUAUUUAUUAUAUCUUAUGGUAUUGGGUUUUGAUGCAAGCUUCUUGAUCAAAGUAUCACGAGUUUGUUAUAUAAUCGCAAACAAAUUCUUUAAUAAAACGAUGCAUUUAUGUAUUUUUGAUUUGAAAAUUUGGUAUAACUCCAAUUACUCAGGUAUGAUCCAAUUCAAGGACAUUGCCAGGUAGGGAGUUUGACUGGGGCGGUACAUCUCUCAAAUAAUAACGGAGGUGUCCCAAGGCCAGCUCAGUGCGGACAGAAACCACACAUAGAGCAAAAGGGCAAAUGCUGACUUGAUCUCGGUGUUCAGUACACACAGGGACAGCAAAAGCUCGGCCUAUCGAUCCUUUUGGUUUAAAGAGUUUUUAACAAGAGGUGUCAGAAAAGUUACCAUAGGGAUAACUGGCUUGUGGCGGCCAAGCGUUCAUAGCGACGUCGCUUUUUGAUCCUUCGAUGUCGGCUCUUCCUAUCAUUGUGAAGCAAAAUUCACCAAGCGUUGGAUUGUUCACCCAUGCAAGGGAACGUGAGCUGGGUUUAGACCGUCGUGAGACAGGUUAGUUUUACCCUACUAAUGACAAAACGUUGUUGCGACAGCAUUCCUGCGUAGUACGAGAGGAACCGCAGGUACGGACCAAUGGCACAAUACUUGUUCGAGCGAACAGUGGUAUGACGCUACGUCCGUUGGAUUAUGCCUGAACGCCUCUAAGGUCGUAUCCGUGCUGGACUGCAAUGAUAAAUAAGGGGCAAUUUGCAUUGUAUGGCUUCUAAACCAUUUAAAGUUUAUAAUUUACUUUAUAAACGACAAUGGAUGUGAUGCCAAUGUAAUUUGUAACAUAGUAAAUUGGGAGGAUCUUCGAUCACCUGAUGCCGCGCUAGUUACAUAUAAAAGCAUUAUUU
rnacentral:rRNA from 1 species